rnacentral:misc_RNA from 1 species
GAUGAAGAACGUAGCGAAAUGCGAUACUUGGUGUGAAUUGCAGAAUCCCGUGAACCAUCGAGUCUUUGAACGCAAGUUGCGCCUCAAGCCAUUAGGUUGAGGGCACGUCUGCCUGGGCGUCACAUAUCGUUGCCUGAUGCCAGUAUCCUCGUGAUGGGUGACUGUGCAGGGCGAAUGAUGGCUUCCCGUGAGCAUUGUUGCCUCAUGGUUGGUUGAAAAUUGAGUCCUUGGUAGGGAGCGCCGUGAUAGAUGGUGGUUGAGUGACGAACGAGACCCAAUCAUGUGAGACCCCUACCGAAUUUGGCCUUCAUGACCCACAUGCGUCUUUGGAACGCUCAUGACGAGACCUCAGGUCAGGCGGGGCUACCCGCUGAGUUUAAGCAUAUCAAUAAGCGGAGGA